GAGUGAAUCUAUCCAGGAAGUUGUCACACAGACACCAAAGUGGAAUGACUCCAGGGGGAGUUCAAAGGCUUCUGAAGACCACGGGACCGAACGUCCAGCCUGGGGAGGACGCAGAAACUUCGGGUUGCCUUAGCGCCCUGUGCGCGCUUUGGCCCGCCUCUCGCCAUGGCUGGGCUGUUGUUGAUUGACAUGUGUCUCGCCCAAUGGCCUGCAACCUGGAGGACGCCAGCCCAGCAACAGUGAGGACCAGCAACGGUGAGGACCGAGGCAGACGUGCUCAGAGGGCAAGAAACAACUGAUGCAAGGAAGGGGGAAAAGGAAAAGAAGGCAGGGGAAGUGGGAAAGGAGGAUGGAAAAAAGGCCAGAGAAAUGUGAGAUCUACAGUCUCCCUAGUUAUAAAACCACUGGGUCUGGUCCCCGGGGAAAGUUCCACAGGUGAGAGACCUGGAAGAGAAAGGAGGCACCACCCCUUGCCCUACAUCUGCCACCCAGGGCUCAGUCCUUCCUUGUGACCUCAGCCGGGAGCCUAGAGUCUUCCCCACCUGCCGAUCGGCCCCCGCGACUCCACACGGGCCCCUGCCCUGCCAACACUGCUGCCUCUCGGGGGCGCUUGCUCCCUCCCGUCUCCAGGGCAACCUGGAGAUGCGCUGGCCCUCCACACCUGCCGGAGACCAGUGGGAGCAGCCUGGGUUCACCUCGCAUGGGACACCGCUGCCGCCACACUUUUCUUCAAGAGUACGACAAGACGCUUCGGCGAGGAUCAUGCGUAGACGCAGAAUACAUGGACUGUAACCCGGCUUCCCCAAGCACCCUUGUUGAAACUAGGGCAAUGGAAGUGGCAUCGAGGCAGAUUGGAGCUAUGUAGAAGUCACGUUGGCACUGUUCAGCAGUUAGAGUUGGCCAAUAAUGAAACAGGUUGUCUCCAGAGAGACUGAGCUCCCCAUCACUGGAGGGAAUCAGCAUUUGUUGGGAAUCAAAAUUCCUCGGUAGGUAGGAAAUAUACGAUCUCGGAGUGCCUAAAGGAGGUGAAUGGGAACACCGCGGAGCAGACCCCUCAGAAGAGCUCGGGAGUUCCAGAGACAAACUCACCUCCUUCCCAAAUUCCCCUCUUGGGAUAACUAUAGACAUGGGGGACAUGAGAAGAAGGAUGGAGACACGUGGAGGGAGGAGAAGCAGCAACAUAGGGAUGCUGCCAGAACGGGUGGACCGUGUUUGAGUCCUCAUCAAACAAACCAACUUUAAGACUCUUGUGCACUGGCUCCAGUGAUGUCACCAGCAAGCCUGCUUUGGAAAUUCAGGCAGCCCCUCUGCAGAGCCUGGCCCAUCCA
rnacentral:lncRNA from 1 species